UGCGUUGAUUGGCUAGCGCCUCAAAACGGCAGUGUUUCAACAAACGUAUAAACGCUGAGGAAGUGGACUUGUCCGAUGUCAACUUGCCCUGAUAUGCAAAUUCUGUCGACAAUAUGUAAUAUUUUUCAUGACUUAAACAAUAAUUGACGAGAAGUGCUAUAAACAGUCAUGCCUGCUCAGCCGGCUGCCAGAGAACCAGAGGAGGAGAUGGAGACAGAGGCCGACCCGGAGGUUCCUCAAACUAACGGUGAGGUGGAGGAAGAGCGAGAGGGAGGAGAUGCAGAGGAGACAAUGGAGGAGAGCGGAGAGGAGCGGGACAGCGACCUUGAGGAGAGUGAACCAGAGGAGGAAGAGGAGGAAGAGGAAGAAAGUUCAGAAAUGGAUGAUGAAGAUUGUGAGAGAAGACGAUUACAGUGCCUAGAUGAAAUGUCUGACCUGGAAAAACAGUUCCUGGAGUUAAAAGACAAGCUUUUUCAAGAACGUCUGAACCAGGUUAAAAUGAAGCUGGACGAGGUUUUGACAGGAAAGGCAGGAGAGUACAGAGAACCAUUGGCAACACUGCAGCAGAACCUACAGCAGAGAACACAAGUUGCAGGUGUGUACAGAGAACUUUGUCUGCAAGUGGUCAGACACAAACAUGAAUGUGAAGUGCAAGGGGCCAGACAACAUCUAGAGAGUGAGAGGACACUCUUAUUUGAUGCCAUGAAAACAGAACUGCUGGAGAAGAUCCACAGACUGGAGGAGGACAAACAGAGUGACAUCACCUCAGAGUGGUGGAAUGAUGAAGUGAGGAUGAAGAAAUGUAAGAGAAGGAGUCUUCUGAUUCGCCCAGACAGGAAGAAGAAGGCAGCUCUUGUGUCAGGGCCAUACAUAGUGUAUAUGCUAAGAGACACUGACAUACUAGAGGACUGGACGACUAUCAAGAAGGCAAAAGCGGCACUGAUGCCUAUGAAGAAGAAAGCAGACACAUUCCUGGAAAAUUUAAGCACAAACUUUACCAUGGGUGGUACGUUGGAACGUAACAGGCUAAGACAGGCAGGUGCCCGUGCGAUGUGAAGGUGGGGCUCUCUUCUAUGAUGGAGAAAGAUUCUCCAAAGGCAGCAGUGUCGUUCUAGAAGUCAAUGACGACAGCCCGGCACAGGCCGUGCUAACAGGGAUCAGCACAGGAGAGGUCUGGUUCAAGCGCACAGAUGGCACCAAAACCAAAAUCUACGUCUCCCAACUUCAGAAAGGCAAAUACACCAUACGAAAAGCUUAGAGAAGAUAAUCGUUACACUUGGAGAGUGUGUGAACCUACCCUUUAAUAAUUAACAAAUAACACACACAUUUACCAACACCUUUAGAACAGCUUAUAACAAUCCAAUUUAAUGCUAUGCACUAGUAUUGAUCAGACCAGAGACUUUAUGUAUAGUGACUUAUGAUCUCAGAUAAAUUUUGCUUUUUUAUAUGCAUAUUUUAUUUUGACUAUAAUAAUAAGAGGGAUCUGGUUCCAGAACAACACUGUUGGCAUCAAGUAGGCAAUUUCUGGUGCAGCUAAAGUUCAUUCAUUAAUUCAAACACAACAUGGACUUACAAAGCCUGUUGACCAAAUGCUAAAAGACCAUAUGAAGUCUUUCUGUAUCAUAAUGCUUAUCACACUGUAUACAUUCAUAAUACUUCAUACUGACCUUAUAUGAAGUCUGAUACACACUCAGAUCAUUGUGCAUUUGUUUGUUUGUCAUUGUCAUUUAAAAUGAUUAUAAAAGUCCAUUUCAUGUACACUAAAGACACCACAGGGGCAAAAAGGACUGCACUCACACAUUGGCUCUUUUCUAUGUUGUGCUGCAACUGCUUCUUUAAACUGAUCUUGGGUCUGUUUUUAAUAGCCAAGGUUUGUAUAUUAAAAGGAAAAGCACUGUCUCUACCCAGAACACAAGAGAACACAAUCAAACACCUUGAAUUGUGAUUGCACUCAGAAUAACAAGAGAUGUAACUUUUUUCUUCAGUACAUUUUGAAAGACUGUUAUUGUAAUACAUAGUAUUUAUAGACAUCUGUAAAGUGAUCUGAAACAGAGGGUGCUUUUUAAAACUUAUUUAUGAAGUGUUCGAGAUGAUCAUGUAUUUAUAACAAGAAGCAUUAUUAAAAUCUAAACUUUUAUUACA